UCUCGGGUCUUGGGGCUCCUUUGUUAGAGCCCCAGUAAAGGUUGCGGUAACUUCCGAUCCAAAGCGGAGGUGUUCCUGCAGCUGCCCCUUCUGGGAUGAGGGGCAGUUCCUGAGUCUGGGGGCCUCUGAGGCGCUGCUCCGGAUCAGCAUGCACCUGCUUCUUUUUGUCGCACCAGUCCGGUGUCUCCGUACCUCUCCGGCUGCCGGGUCUGUGGCCUCGCAGCCCGAGUCAGGUGUCCUGGGUAACUUGAGGACACGGGGCUGGGCAGGUGCCGAGAGCCUGCGCCUGGCCCCGUCCUGCUGGGCUGAGCCACUAGGCGCCUGGAGCGAGGAGCCUCCGGGAGACUAUGAGCGGUCGCCUGCUCGGCUCUCGCCUACGCCUUCUGCUCCAAUUGCUUUCCUAAUCGAGCGGAAAAGCCGGGGGCGUGUUGCCGGGGCCCCAGAAGGCUAGCGGGCUCGGCAGUGCAGCCUGAAGUCCGCGGGUGGACCUUCCCGCCCACGGGUCGUGCUGUCACUCGCCCUGCAGCCCCCAGCCAGCCAGAGGGCACCCCACACUGGCGUCAUAGGGUAAAGGGACCAGAGGCAGCUGAGUGACCAUGACCGCAGGCUUUACAGGGGCUUUCAGUGCAACAGGGGCUUGCUCUGGGAAGUUCCCCUCGCUUACAAUUCUGCAACUAUCCAUAAACAGCUACAUCCCGAUGUGUGCUAGGCAUUGGGAGUUACAGGGCUUGAGUCAGCAGCCCUAAGAAGGCUUGGAAGUGGGGGUAUGUGUCUGAGUGUGUGUGUGUGUGUAGAAACUGAGCACCUAGUGCAGUGUCUGGCAACCAGUAAACCUUGGCUGAAUGAAUGAGAAGGUAGGUGGCUGAGGGAGCAGGGCUAGAGAGGGCAGCUCUGUUUUAUCCCACCCCUGCCUCCCCUGGGCUCAGGCAGACAAAAGUAAUUAGGUUGAGCCUUUAAUCACAGCUGGUUUCACAGGCAGGCGGACAAGGAAGAGCGGAGAAAGGCAGAAAUUCUAGGGACACAGCGUGCUGGCUUAUGGGCAGUGCCUCCUGCUGGGACCCCCUCCAGCCCCCACAGAUUCUCCGACAGUAAUCUCCUGUUUUCUUGUCUCCCUCAGGACACUGGGUUCCCUACGAGCUGCCCCAGGCUUAAUGAUUGUCCAGAAGGUGGCUAUAAAGGGAGCCUGGGAGGCUGGGUGGAGGAGGGAACAGAGAAAGCCUAACUCAGCAGAUCUGGUCACUGAGAGAGCCCCAGGCAGGAGCUGUGGUCGGAGGCUUCGCGUCUUGGCCACUGGGGCCUGCUCCCUUCCACCAUGGCCGCCCAAGGCUACGGCUAUUACCGCGCUGUGAUCUUCUCAGCCAUGUUUGGAGGCUACAGCCUGUACUACUUCAACCGCAAGACCUUCUCCUUUGUCAUGCCGUCGUUGGUGGAGGAGAUCCCUCUGGACAAGGACGACUUGGGGCUCAUCACCAGCAGCCAGUCGGCAGCCUACGCCAUCAGCAAGUUUGUGAGCGGGGUGCUGUCUGACCAGAUGAGUGCCCGCUGGCUCUUCUCUUCUGGGCUGCUUCUGGUCGGCCUGGUCAACGUAGUCUUUUCCUGGAGCUCCAUGGUACCUGUCUUUGCUGCUCUCUGGUUCCUCAAUGGCCUGGCACAGGGGCUGGGCUGGCCUCCCUGUGGGAAGAUCCUGCGGAAGUGGUUUGAGCCAUCUCAGUUUGGCACCUGGUGGGCCAUUCUGUCAACCAGCAUGAACCUGGCUGGAGGGCUGGGCCCUAUCCUGGCAACCAUCCUCGCCCAGAGCUAUAGCUGGCGAAGCACGCUGGCCCUGUCCGGGGCGCUCUGUGUAGUUGUCUCCUUCCUCUGUCUCCUGCUCAUCCACAAUGAACCCGCUGACGUUGGGCUCCGGAACCUGGACCCCGCCCCCUCCAAGGACAAGAAGGGCUCCUCGAAGGAGGAGAGUACUCUACAGGAGCUGCUGCUGUCCCCCUACCUGUGGGUACUCUCCACGGGCUACCUCGUGGUAUUUGGAGUAAAGACCUGCUGUACUGACUGGGGCCAGUUCUUCCUCAUCCAGGAGAAAGGACAAUCCGUCCUCGUGGGUAGCUCCUACAUGAGUGCCCUGGAGGUUGGGGGCCUUGUAGGCAGCAUCGCAGCUGGCUACCUGUCAGACCGGGCCAUGGCAAAGGCAGGCCUAUCCAUCUACGGGAACCCUCGCCAUGGCCUGUUGCUGCUCAUGAUGGCUGGCAUGACCGUGUCCAUGUACCUCUUCCGGGUCACUGUGACCAGUGACUCCUCCAAGCUCUGGAUCCUGGUGUUGGGAGCUCUGUUCGGUUUCUCCUCCUACGGUCCCAUUGCCUUGUUCGGAGUUAUAGCCAAUGAGAGUGCUCCUCCCAACUUGUGCGGCACCUCCCAUGCCAUUGUGGGACUCAUGGCCAACGUCCCUUCCCCCAACCAGCCCCCAGUGCAUCCCUUUGGCCUAUCUGAAGACGCAUACCUGUCAGUGUCUGGAAACAGUGCAGUUUGAACGUGUCGGUCUCCAGCAUCUCAAUGCCUGAGCUGCCCUGUUCUGGAGACAGCUGGGAACCGAUUGCGAACAGCCUAUUUGCAAAGGAGCAGAGACACCAGCCCACUCCGCAGCACCGGGCCCGCCCAUCGGACGCAAUCCUAGCCCACCCCGGAUGCCGUCGCGCUGGCCGAAGGCAACCAGCACACGCUCGUCGUGCAGCUUGAGCAGCAGAUCAAGAGGGUAACUGAAAGUUUUCUCAGCCUCGGCCCGUGGCGCGUAGCUGUCCAACUGGUAGAUGAGGCCGCCAGCUUUGUUCACCACGUACACGCUAAAAAUCGCCAUUGCAGCCGCUGCCCCUCAGAGGCGGGGAUUCGGCUUCUUCCAGACGGCCCCGCCCCGGAACCGCAGUCCCGGGACCCGCCCCUCGCCCCCUCCUCCCAGCCUCCCAAAGCCGGCGCCUGCGCACUUGUAGCACCACGCUUAGCGGGAUCGUGGGGGUAGUUACGGAGGCUGGCAGAUUGUUUUCUCUCUUUAUUAGUUUCCAGGACCAGGGGAUAGCGACGUGUGACUACCUCACAACUAGCGGCAAAGUCCAAAAGGCCGCGGACAGUGUUCGGGGUGCGCGGCUGGGGAAGGACAACCACCCUCCCUGCUGCCCGCUGGACGAGGGGGCUGGACCUACGACCUUCCGCCGCUGGCUCCGCCCCUUGCCCCGGAAACGCUUGCUGAGGGUGGAGGUUUCUGGGCCCGUGCGUGAGCGCCGCUUCCUUUUUUGUCCGACAUCUUAGCGAGGCUGCGGUGUUGGCUGUUGCUCUCUGAGCUUCGCUAUGCCGCCCAAGGACGACAAGAAGAAGAAAGAUGCCGGGAAAUCGGCCAAAAAAGACAAAGACCCAGUGAACAAAUCUGGGGGCAAGGCCAAAAAGAAGGACUUAUUAAACUCGUCUCAAAGCACAGAGCUCAAGUAAUUUACACCAGAAACACCAAGGGUGGAGAUGCCCCAGCUGCUGGUGAAGAUGCAUGAACAGAUUCCACCACCAACUGUACAUUUUGGAAAAUAAAACUUUAUUAAAUCAAA